rnacentral:sRNA from 1 species
CUCUACUGAGAUGAAGAAAGAAAAAGAAUACAUGCUCAGCUCCAGGGACACGUAAAGGGACAGAGAUUGGGGGACAGAAGGAAGUGCAUUAAUUCCUUCCACGACCCCUGAAGAGCAGCGGUGGGUCUGAGCAUGCUAUCUCCAUGAAGCAGGCCAGCAGGCAAGCCAGCUGCCACCUCGUCCUGUGCAAAGCACAGGCACCGUCCCCAAAAGAUUUCCAAAGAUGAUGUUAAACCCAGCCAUGGUUCUCAUCUCCAGGAAAGCAAUUGCUGUGGUACAAAAGGACAAGGGUUAAAAGAGAACAGUGGGAGCUCUCUUUCCCAACUAACUCCAGGUGUGACGCAGAGGCUUUCAGCACAGGCCAGGGUGCCCGGGACUGAAAACUCCUUCACCAACCCCUCCACAGACAGAGUCUUACACUGUUACCCAGGCUGGAGUGCAGUGGUGUGAUCUCGGCUCACUGCAAACUCCGCCUCCCAGGUUCACACCAUCCUCCUGCCUCAGCCUCCUGAGUAGCUGGGACUACAGGCGCCCGCCACCGCACCCAGCUAAUUUUUUGUACUGUGUUAGCCAGGAUAGUCUCAGUCUCCUGACCUUGUGACCACCUGCCUCAGCCUCCCAAAGCACUGGGAUUACAGGCGUGAGCCACCGCGCCAGGCCUAUUUAAGCUGAUUCUUUAAGG